rnacentral:rRNA from 1 species
GUGCAGGCGCAGCUACCAUGCAGUCGAGCGGUAACAGAUCCAGCUUGCUGGAUGCUGACGAGCGGCGGACGGGUGAGUAAUGCAUAGGAAUCUGCCCGAUAGUGGGGGAUAACCUGGGGAAACCCAGGCUAAUACCGCAUACGUCCUACGGGAGAAAGGGGGCUUCGGCUCCCGCUAUCGGAUGAGCCUAUGUCGGAUUAGCUAGUUGGUGAGGUAACGGCUCACCAAGGCCACGAUCCGUAGCUGGUCUGAGAGGAUGAUCAGCCACAUCGGGACUGAGACACGGCCCGAACUCCUACGGGAGGCAGCAGUGGGGAAUAUUGGACAAUGGGGGGAACCCUGAUCCAGCCAUGCCGCGUGUGUGAAGAAGGCCCUCGGGUUGUAAAGCACUUUCAGCGAGGAAGAACGCCUAGCGGUUAAUACCCGCUAGGAAAGACAUCACUCGCAGAAGAAGCACCGGCUAACUCCGUGCCAGCAGCCGCGGUAAUACGGAGGGUGCAAGCGUUAAUCGGAAUUACUGGGCGUAAAGCGCGCGUAGGUGGCUUGAUAAGCCGGUUGUGAAAGCCCCGGGCUCAACCUGGGAACGGCAUCCGGAACUGUCAAGCUAGAGUGCAGGAGAGGAAGGUAGAAUUCCCGGUGUAGCGGUGAAAUGCGUAGAGAUCGGGAGGAAUACCAGUGGCGAAGGCGGCCUUCUGGACUGACACUGACACUGAGGUGCGAAAGCGUGGGUAGCAAACAGGAUUAGUCCUCG